AUAAUCAUUUGUCUUUUAAUUGAAGUCUGGUAUGAAUGGUCGGAUGAAAAGUUAACUUUCUUUAUUUUAUAAAAAAAAUUAAACUUUUGGGUUAAAAGGCCUAGAUGUUAGUAUAGGACGAGAAGACCCUAUAGAACUUUAUUUUUUUAAAAUAAUAAUUUUUUCGUUUAUGAUUUUUUAUUAUUUGACAAAAAUUUUGUUGGGGUGACAGAAAAAAUUUUAUAACUUUUUUAUUUUUAAUCAUUUAUAUAUGAUUUAUUGAUCCUUUAUUAUGGAUAAUUAGAUUAAGUUACCUUAGGGAUAACAGCGUUAUUAUUUCAGAGAGCUCAUAUUAAUGAAAUAGUUUGCGACCUCGAUGUUGGAUUAAAAUUAGUUUCAGGGGUAGAAGAUUGAUUGACUAGGUCUGUUCGACCUUUAAAUUUUUACAUGAUCUG
rnacentral:rRNA from 1 species